rnacentral:misc_RNA from 1 species
UACGUAGGGUCCAAGCGUUAUCCGGAAUCAUUGGGCGUAAAGCGCGCGCAGGCGGUCCUUUAAGUCUGAUGUGAAAGCCACGGCUCAACCGUGGAGGGUCAUUGGAAACUGGAGGACUUGAGUGCAGAAGAGGAAAGUGGAAUUCCAUGUGUAGCGGUGAAAUGCGUAGAGAUGUGGAGGAACACCAGUGGCGAAAGCGACUUUCUGGUCUGUAACUGACGCUGAGGCGCGAAAGCGUGGGGAUCAAACAGG